rnacentral:tRNA from 1 species
GGCUUAAGUUUACUGCUUCCGUAAAAAACCCCGCAUUGCGGGGUUUUUUUAUAGUGAAAUUAAGAAAAUAGAAUCAAAUCACAUUUU